AUUCUGCUGCUGCUGAAAAUAAAUACAUGUAUCCAGACUAGGGUUGCUGUGUCUGGGAGGUGCCGUGUUUAGAACCUAUACCAAACUGAAAAUUGUAAAAAAUUACAGAUGUGUUACUCAAGUCGAAAACUGGGGAAUCUGACUUGGAAUCAGUUUUGUUCCUGAAGCUGAGAGGUCUUGGCAUCUAUGAUCUUGGGUGUAUUGGAGACGGCAUAAACCUGGAAAGGCUGGACCUUUCAAGAAACAACAUUACAAGCUCAGCACCUCUGGCUUCCCUAAGACUCCUUCUAGUGCUCAAUGUUUCUGGAAACAGAAUCAUCAAUUUAGGUAAUGGAAGGUGGUAAUAAGAUUUGUUACUGAUUUACCAAAGAAUAUUUUUGGACACAUUAAAACUACUACUAAUUACCUCCAAAUGAUUUUAUUCAAGUCCCCACCCCCAUUCCAGCCAUGUACUUUUUAUUGUUU